GGGUGAGCCACUUUCCUCCCAGAAGAGACCCACCCAUAAUUUUGGUGAUGUUAGUUUGGGGCCGAAUGGUGGAUGAUGUUUCUUUGUAUGUUACUUUUCUUAAUGUUGCUCUGUUAUUGCUGUUACUUUUCUUUUGCGAUAUUUUUUUGCUCUUUUUUCCCCUAUUUUUUGGUGUUCUUUUCUAUAUCAUCCCUCUUUGAUGUUCUUUGGUCUGGAUGAGCCUCUUUCUCCCCAGAAAAGACCCACCCAUAAUUUUGGUGAUGUUAGUUUGGGGCCGAAUGGUGGAUGAUGUUUCUUUGUAUGUUACUUUUCUUGACGUUCUGUUAUUGUUGCUACUUUUCUUUUGCGAUGUUUUUUUCUCUUUUUCACAUUUUUUUGGUGUUCCUUUCUAUAUCAUCCAUUUAUGAUGUUCUUUGGUCUGGAUGAGCCUCUUUCUCCCCAGAAAAGACUCAUCCAUAAUUUUGGAGAUGUUAAGGCCUGAAGGUGGAUGAUCUGUGUUUUUCAUUUUCUUAUCUUGAUGUUUUGUUACUAUAUUUUCCUUUUUCUGGUGUUCCUUUUUUAUUUUCCUUUUCAUUGGUGUUCCCAUCACGUGGAUUGUCUACGACAUCUAACGAGCACCACAAGCCCCGGUUUAUUGUUCGGAGUUUGCUCUCCUAGGCAGACUGCCUACCACGGCUGACGGGCUCCACCUGCCCGGGUUUAUCGUUCGGAGUUUGCUCUCCUAGGCAGAUUGCCCACCACGGCUGACGAGCUCCACUUGCCCGGGUUUAUUGUUCGGAGUUUGCUCUCCUAGGUGAAUUGCCUACCACGGCUAACGAACCUCACCUGCCCGGGUUUGUAAUCGGAGUUUGCUCUCCUAGGUGAACUGCUUUCGCUAACGACCUCCACCUGCCCGGGUUUGUAAUCGGAGUUUGCUCUCCUAGAUGAAUUGCUUUCGCUAACGACCUCCACCUGCCCGGGUUUGUAAUCGGAGUUUGCUCUCCUAGAUGAAUUGCUUUCGCUAACGACCUCCACCUGCCCGGGUUUGUAAUCGGAGUUUGCUCUCCUAGGUGAACUGCUCACGCUAACGACCUUCACCUGCCCGGUUUUAUAAUCGGAGUUUGCUCUCCUAGAUGAACUGCUUUCGCUAACGAGCUCCACCUGCCCGGGUUUAUUGUUCGGAGUUUGCUCUCCUAGGUGUAUUACCUAUGACGGCUCACGAGCCCAACCUGCCCGGGUUUAUUGUUCGGAGUUUGCUCUCCUAGGUGUAUUACCUAUGACGGCUCACGAGCCCAACCUGCCCGGGUUUAUUGUUCGGAGUUUGCUCUCCUAGGUGUAUUACCUAUGACGGCUCACGAGCCCAACCUGCCCGGGUUUAUUGUUCGGAGUUUGCUCUCCUAGGUGAAUUGCCUACCACGGCUAACGAACCUCACCUGCCCGGGUUUGUUGUUCGGAGUUUGCUCUCCUAGGUGAAUUGCCUACCACGGCUAACGAACCUCACCUGCCCGGGUUUGUUGUUCGGAGUUUGCUCUCCUAGGCAGAUUGCCU